AGAGUUUGAUCAUGGCUCAGGAUGAACGCUGGCGGCGUGUCUAAGGCAUGCAAGUCGAACGCGUCCGGAGGUCUUCGGACCUCCAUGACGAGUGGCAGACGGGUGAGGAACACAUUGGUAACCUGCCCCGAAGUUCGGAAUAACUUUUCGAAAGAGAAGCUAAUACCGGAUGUGAUCCCGCACCGCAUGGUGCAGGAGGAAAGCCCAAAAGGCGCUUCGGGAGGGGCCUAUGUCUUAUCAGCUUGUUGGUGAGGUAACGGCUCACCAAGGCAACGACGAGUAGCAGGCGUGAGAGCGCGACCUGCCUCAGUGGGACUGAGACACUGCCCACACUCCUACGGGAGGCUGCAGUCGAGAAUCUUCCGCAAUGGACGAAAGUCUGACGGAGCGACGCCGCGUGCAGGAUGACGGGCUUCGGCCUGUAAACUGCUUUUCACUGGGAAGAAGCGCAAGCUGACGGUACCAGUGGAAUAAGAGGUUGCUAACUCUGUGCCAGCAGCAGCGGUAAUACAGAGACCUCAAGCGUUAUCCGGAUUUACUGGGCGUAAAGCGUCCGCAGGUGGCUCGUUAAGUCGUUGGUCAAAUCUCAAGGCUCAACCUUGAGACUGCCCGCGAUACUGGCGAGCUAGAGGACGGGAGAGGCAUGCGGAAUUACUGGUGUAGGGGUAGAAUCCGUUUAUAUCAGUAAGAACACCAAAGGCGAAGGCAGCAUGCUGGAACGUUCCUGACACUCAUGGACGAAAGCGUGGGGAGCGAAAAGGAUUAGAUACCCUAGUAGUCC
rnacentral:rRNA from 1 species